AUGAACGCUGGCGGCGUGCCUAAUACAUGCAAGUCGAGCGAACAGACGAGGAGCUUGCUCCUCUGACGUUAGCGGCGGACGGGUGAGUAACACGUGGAUAACCCACCUAUAAGACUGGGAUAACUUCGGGAAACCGGAGCUAAUACCGGAUAAUAUAUUGAACCGCAUGGUUCAAUAGUGAAAGACGGUUUUGCUGUCACUUAUAGAUGGAUCCGCGCCGCAUUAGCUAGUUGGUAAGGUAACGGCUUACCAAGGCAACGAUGCGUAGCCGACCUGAGAGGGUGAUCGGCCACACUGGAACUGAGACACGGUCCAGACUCCUACGGGAGGCAGCAGUAGGGAAUCUUCCGCAAUGGGCGAAAGCCUGACGGAGCAACGCCGCGUGAGUGAUGAAGGUCUUCGGAUCGUAAAACUCUGUUAUUAGGGAAGAACAAAUGUGUAAGUAACUAUGCACGUCUUGACGGUACCUAAUCAGAAAGCCACGGCUAACUACGUG
rnacentral:rRNA from 1 species